rnacentral:rRNA from 1 species
AACGAACGCUGGCGGCAUGCCUAACACAUGCAAGUCGAACGAUGCCUUCGGGCAUAGUGGCGCACGGGUGCGUAACGCGUGGGAAUCUGCCCUUGGGUUCGGAAUAACUCAGAGAAAUUUGAGCUAAUACCGGAUGAUGACGUAAGUCCAAAGAUUUAUCGCCCAAGGAUGAGCCCGCGUAAGAUUAGCUAGUUGGUGGGGUAAAGGCCUACAAGGCGACGAUCUUUAGCUGGUCUGAGAGGAUGAUCAGCCACACUGGGACUGAGACACGGCCCAGACUCCUACGGGAGGCAGCAGUGGGGAAUAUUGGACAAUGGGCGAAAGCCUGAUCCAGCAAUGCCGCGUGAGUGAUGAAGGCCUUAGGGUUGUAAAGCUCUUUACCAGGGAUGAUAAUGACAGUACCUGGAGAAUAAGCUCCGGCUAACUCCGUGCCAGCAGCCGCGG